rnacentral:rRNA from 1 species
AUACGGAGGGUGCAAGCGUUAUUCGGAAUCACUGGGCGUAAAGGACGCGUAGGCGGGUUGGCAAGUCAGAUGUGAAAUCCUACAGCUUAACUGUAGAACUGCAUUUGAAACUGCUAACCUAGAGUAUGGGAGGGGGAGAUGGAAUUAGUGGUGUAGGGGUAAAAUCCGUAGAUAUCACUAGGAAUACCGAAAGCGAAGGCGAUCUCCUGGAACAUAACUGACGCUAAGGCGUGAAGGCGUGGGGAGCAAACAGGAUUAGAAACCCCUGUAGUCC